rnacentral:rRNA from 1 species
UACGGAGGGGGCCAGCGUUGUUCGGAAUCAUUGGGCGUAAAGGGCGCGUAGGCGGCCGAUCAAGUCCGACGUGAAAUUCCCCGGCUCAACCGGGGGCCUGCGUCGGAUACUGCUCGGCUUGAGUCCCGGAGAGGGUAGUGGAAUUCCCAGUGUAGCGGUGAAAUGCGUAGAUACUGGGAGGAACACCGGUGGCGAAGGCGGCUACCUGGACGGGUACUGACGCUGAGGCGCGAAAGCUAGGGGAGCAAACAGG